rnacentral:lncRNA from 12 species
CACUUCUGGAGCUUGGGAUUGUGUUCUCCUGCAUCAGCUGGUUCAGGGCCUGCCAGUCCCCGGGGAGCUUGGGUGUCCGCACCCAGCACACAACUGAACUCUUUGGGGCUGCUGCAGCCCCACCUGCACAAAUCCGGGCUCCUAUGAAGGACCGUCUCACCUCCUCUCUGCUCCCUCUACGGGAAUCCUGCUCCUGCCCCAGGACAGUCUCGGGGUUCCAGACAGAUCCCUCACAUUCGUCUACAUCUUCUGCUUCUUUCAUCCUGUGCACCUGCUCUGCCCACGUUCACCAUCCUCCUGGAGUCGCCUGUCUCGUCUUGGCCACUGCUUCAGCCCCUCCACCUGCCCUGCCAGGCCCGGGGCUGGGCCCUGGGCCUCGGGGACCACUGUGCAGCCUGGCUUCUCCUGCUCCAGCCCCAGCGCCUGGAGCCCGAGCGCCACAUCGGGGGAGCAGCCCCCUGCACCUGAGCAUUGGCGGGGACCAGGCUGCGCUCCCUCCCACUUAAGCCAAAGGCACGUGGGCCAAGGACCGGGGCCAGCCAUGACCAUCUCCCGGUCCCAUGGGUCCCUCCUCUCAUCCUGUUGCGCCCUUGCGUCUACUGUGGGCACCUGCCUGAGCCGCUCCCUGGAACCCUAAGUCUCUCUGUAACCCAGAAGCUUGGGGACCCCUGUCUGCUGCUCCAGCCUCGGGGCGCUACCCCGAAGUGUCUCCUCACUUCCUGAUGCGGCCGAGGCUCCCAUCCUGUCGGUGGGCAGAGGUCUUGGAAUCGGACCAAGGUGGAUUCCAAAUCCAGUGCUGUUGGCCAACUGUGAAAACUGAAGCUUUCAAACCCUGUGCAUCUAUACUUCCUUGCGUGUGAAACCGUGACAUGCUACUCCCAUUGCGGGGUCCUGGUGGCCGGUGGCCGUGCGCCCAAGUACCCAGCGCGGCGCGUUGGGCAGAGCGUUUGGAAGUCAUCGUUGCUAUGGCCUUUCAGGGGGUCACAGAAUUCUGGUCUCAUCAGAGACCCCUUGUGUAUUCAUCCAAACACCAGGGCGAAACCAUAUAAAAGGCUCCAUUUUACCUUUCCCUGGAUCCUAUCCAUGGCUUGACAUUUUGCUUCACGUACACAAGUGACGCAGUGGGUGUCUGUUGAAUUAAACAAGCAGUGAUGAAAAUUUGUGCGGAGUUUUUAAAAGGUGAAGGGACCAGGGAAAAUACUUUGAGUCCAGCACUUUGCUAUGCUGCUUCCCACAGAUGAAAGGUUCCUUCCAGAAAAUAAUGGGAAUGCCUGAUACUUAGCGUUCCUCAUCAUGAAUCAAACUGCCAUGUAGUUUGUAAAAAAAAAAAAAAAGCAUCCCAAAGAUAAACAGUUCUUUUCUUUCUUUUUGCCCUUCCU